AUUUGGGAUUGACCCUUUUAGAAGCAAUCUUGCAGAUCUGUCAGCCAAAAGGGGUCGCUCUUCAUUCAAACUCCCUGUUUGGGGAAUGGGGGAAUUUCUCAGGCCAGAGGGCAAAGUCAGGGCCUGUGGUCCAGACAGAAACUGUCACCAGAUCGGCCUUAGUGUCACGUGUAACCUCCCUUCAGGAGCACAGAGCAAACUCUGGGCCUCAUCUCGAGCGUCCAACUGACGCCAGUGUGUUUCUCUUGGGCAAUCUACCUUCUGAAAGGCAUGUACCUUCUGGAAUAUAUGCAUGUACCUUUGCGCUUAAAACAAUAUUUGUCCGGCACUUUUGUUUUAUGACUUGUUCGGUUUCUGAAGCCCUGUUAGUUUAAAAACAAACACUUUCAGAUUAGUGGCCGUGUGAACUACACAGAGGUGAUAAACUAUGUACUAAGCCUUAUACGGGCAUGUAGACUAAGUUUAAAGCGAACAGGCAGCGCAGGACAUUGUAGGCACAAAGGCACAGCUUUGUGGACCUAAACAUUGUGAACAGGAAUGAUGGAAGAUUAAUUUGGGGUAGAAGUUUUCAAAACUAUUAAUCCCAAGAACCCAGACUUACAAUAAAGUUACAAUAAAUUGUAUACUUUUAUUAAUACUUAUAUUCUUAUGUACUUUUAUUAACUUUUGUUGAGCUCAACCAAAAUGACGGACCUUCAUAAAAUCUCUAUUUUAAUUAUAUAUUUUUAAACAUUCCAUUCAUCAAAUAAUCACAAUAAAAAUGGCUCAUGUAUUCCACAAAUUAGUAAUAAUAAUAAUAAUAAUAAUAAUAAUAAUUCAACAUUGAUAAUAAUAAGAAAUAUGUCUUGAGCAUCAAAUCAGCAUAUUAAAAUGAUUUUUGAGGAGCAUGUGACACUGAGUACUGGAGUAAUGGCUGCUGAUAAUUACAUUUAAUAAUCACAGGAAUAAAUUACACUUAAAAUUGUCUUAAAAAGAAAACUCUUAUUUUAAAUCAUAGUAAUACUUCACAUUAUUAUUUGUUAUUACUCUUACUGUACAAAUGCAAAUAAAUAAAUAAAUGGUGGCCUUAGUGAGCAUAAGAGAGUUUACUAAUGCCAAAACAAUUAAUACAAAUAUAUUUUGGGAAAUAAUUUUAUAACAUUGUGUCAAACAAUACAUUUAAAUGCAAAUAGAAACUCUUGCAAUUCAGUUCAAAUUUUUCACAAAUUUUUUUACAAAUAUUUUUCUCUCAAAAAUGUAAAUGGACUUCCUAGUGCCUCCUUGUGGCCCCAUGGGGAUCAGCAGACCCCAGUUUAAAAAUUGCUGAUCACCAAUCAGAACUGUAGAAAUCAUGAUUGUUUCCACACAGGUUUCUAGAACUUCCCUGUCAGUGUUUUGAUAAUGUGACAAAGUCACUAUAUAUUUGCUUUUUAGAGAAAAUCAACCUAAAAAUUCCAUGCUUGUUUCAUUUUAAUAUUAAAAAAUUACUCACGCAACUUUAAGAAAAUGUUAUUUUCACUAUUUUGUUCAAAAUCAAUGAAUAAUUUAUGUUCUCAGUCUUGAGAUAUGGACCAAAAGACCAGUGCGCUCACUGUAAUUAGCGCAGGGAUAUCAAUAUGAACAAAGCACCUCAGUAUUUCCCCACUGGAAGGAGAUAUGCGUGAGACAGAAUGGGAACAGGCCUGGGGUGAUGUUGUAAAUGGCUAAUAAAUAUUUACUCGCACUGCAUGUAGGCCAGAGUACCACAAACUGCUUGUAUUCAGUUAAUCAGUAGAUGAGCCUGAUUACUUACAGAUAGUGUUUAGAAAACGAAUUAUUACUGUAAAAGGUCCCUAAUAGCAGGAGGUAUAAUUAGUUCAACCUGCAACACAUCUCACCAAAAUGUUGUUGGUAUAACAUAGUGCUGUACUACUGUCUUUGUCAUAUGCAGUAUGUAAACAGGGUUGCACUUUAUUUUACAGUACGUGUACUAACAUGUACUUAUAGUGUACUUACAGUGUAUUUAUCUAAGAAAGUUCUGGUAACACAAGGUAACUACAUGGGGUAGGGUUAGGUUUAGGGGUAGGUUCAGGGUUAGUACCUAGUUAUUACAUAGUUAUUGUAAUUACUAUAAUAAGUACAUAGUAUGUACAUGAGGAACAUGACUGUAAAAUAAAGUGCUACCGUAAACAGUAUAAACAAAAUAUAAUUACUAAACUUAACCUUCCAUUCUUAAUGAACCAAGAGUUAUAUACUGUAGACUUAUUUUAAUCUCUUUCUUGAAUCAUUAUUUGAUGAAGCUAUAUAUUUUUUGCCCAGGGCUUCUGUAUUGCUCCAUCACUGUAAAAAGAGGAGAGCUCUUCUAACCAUGGCUGCCCUUUAAAUGGGUGGUAUUAACUAAAGGUCUCUGGAACAGUACUUUGGAAAUGAAUCUAUUCUGUUAGGACAGCUGCCCCAUCACACACUGCUUCUGGAAAUCUUUGUGGAACUCAAAGUAAUUUAAGCUUGCUGGAAAUUUUGGCAAAUGAUUAAUAAUCUUCAGACUUCAACCAACAUUUAAACAAACUCUUCGCUCACAAUUUGUGAGAUGCUCUGAGCACAUUUCAUCUUUUUGUAAUCUGUAUGUUUAUUCAAAAUACUCGCUCCCGCAAAUCAACAUUUGGGCUUCCCUGGGUCCUCAGGUGAACAGUUGGCCUAAUUUUCCAUUCUUUCUCUCUGUGCCUAGUGUGGAUGUGGCAGGCACCAGCUCUUGGCUCACGAUGGACUAAAUCUAUUAUUCAUAUUGCCUGGUAUCUUAGCGACAUUGUCCUGCCACCUGUCCAAUAGACAAGCUCGCCUUGUUGUACAAAGCGAAGACAUAGUUGUUGACAAAUGGAGGCUUUGUUCUACAGGCCCACACACACAAUCCAGUGUUUGUGUAGUAAUCUGGAAAGUUCAUUCUGAUGGACUGUAAGAUUUCCUGCUUGACUUUUUAUGUGUUUUCAUGAAAAACGUGCCACAGUGGUAUUGUACAAUGUGCUGAAAUAAUACCAGUCAGAGCUGCAUCAGACAGUACAUCAGUCAUAACAUAAUUGUUUGUUUAUUCUGAUGUUCUGAUCUUUCAGAUGACAGUGACUUCAGACUGUGAAUCACAAGCCAUACGAUGCAGCUUUCCUCAUUUGUGCAGCGUGGCCUCAUUGCCAUGCAAAGCUAGCAUGCAGAAUUUUUUUUUUUUUCAAAUGCAUAAAUCUCUUUCCAGUCUAUAUUCUCAUCAAGAAGUUUUUCAUGUUUAAUAAAUUACAGCACCGAUCCUCUAAGACUUUGUUAUUCAUAAAGCAAUGUAUUCAAUUGGGAUACAUUUAAAAUCUUAAUCAUAACCUGCAGGACUAUUUGCAGUGUGCUAAUAUUUGUCUUGAUGGGGCUUAAAUAAGCCCGCAGACAAAGCUCGCAGAUGGGCUUAUCCUGAGAAGCAAAGCUGUACUGCAGUAAAGACGGUCUCAUUGUUUGUAAUUGGAUUAUAUUCACAGAUUUUUGUAACCAAAAGUGCAUCUAUUCUUUACUAUACAUCAGCUCUUUUCACAAAACAAUUAUUAUCUCAGUCGUAGGGAUUUUUCAUCUGAAAAAUAAGUAAAUAAUAAUAAUAAUAAAAAAGUUUCAUCUGAAGUAUAAUGUCAGAAACUGACAUUAUGCUUUGUCAUUUUACCACAGAAAAAUACAUUUACCAGGAACUACUAAUGAGAGCAAAAAAAGAAAAUUAAAAAAACAUUGAAAAACUAUUGAAAAAAUGUAGUACAGAUUUAAAAAUAAAUAAAUAAAUAUUGGAAUGUAUAACAAUAAAAAAAUAAUGCACCAUUUGUGUUAUUUAAUAGAAUUCUGCAUUACUAAAAUAUAAACAAACAAACAAUGAAAUAUUUGUAUUAAUUAUUUAAUUAUUAUUUGAGAUUUAUAUUAUAUUAUAUUAUAUUAUAUUAUAUUAUAUUAUAUUAUAUUAUAUUAUAUUAUAUUAUAUUAUAUUAUAUUAUAUUAGAGUUUUCAAACAGAGGUUAGCAUUCCUGUGUUUUCACAAUAGCUUCACAAAAAUAUAUAUUUUAAUAUAUAUAUAUUCAUAUAUCCAUAUAUUUAUGGAUUUUUGUCCACUAAAUGCCUUUGUCAAAACAUUCCCUUUAUUUUAAGUGCAGAUUUGGUCAGAAUACUGUAAGAAUAAUGCUUACCAUAGUGAAUUCAUGUUGAAUUAGGGUAUAGGCAUUUUGAACGAGUUUUAUAUUAAUGACACUGUCCCCACCAUCUGUCCAAAAUACAGGACAAGGGACCAUCUCCAAUAUGCUAGCCACCAAAGGCAAAGUAAUUAAUGACAGCAAUAAUGCCAGCAAUAAUGACUAGAUUAAAUAUUUUACAGGCCGACUGCCAUGCAGUGUCAAAGCCAAAAGAAAGCUAACGGCCUCCACUGAGAUAAUGCUUGAAGAGAAAGUCAUAAAAAAAGAUAUUGGUUAAAUAAUGUAAAUGACAAAAUGUUGAUGAAAGCUGUGUGGAGAAUUCUACGUAGUUCAUGUUGUUUCACUGAUUAUGUGGCCUUGACAUUAAAACUGAAGUUAAAAUUCUAUUUGAGUGUUUUAGGGCAUCGUUUGAAGAGGUUUAAGCCCUAAAGUUUUUAACUCCCUUAAAAAUCACAUUGUCCUUCUGCUAGUGGUACCUAGAGGAGCGGGUCAGAGAUUCACUCUCUGUCCUAGAACAUGGUCUCAGUCUGUGCUCAAUUGACAGACCUGGCAUCUGACAGGGGCAUCUGCUCGCAUAGCCUGUGCCAGCGCGGUGUAUACACGGAGACAUCUGCUCCAUUAGUGCCCAGGGGGCAUCCUGGGCAGUACAGUAGACUGGGGGAAUAACUACUGCCAGCUCCCUUCCAUGGCACAUGCAAUGAAUAGCAUGGUGUAGCUGUUAGCAAGCCACAGUAGGAAUAACCGGUGAUGUUUUCUUAGAUGGAGGAAGACAGGCAAGAUUUUGCUCUGUUCAUGAUUUAUAAACCAUCAUCUGAUUUACAGUACAACAUUACAAAUUUGUUUUUAUUAUGAUAGCUAAUCAAUACUGUUGUACUAGGCAUCAUUUUAUGAUGCGUAUUGAACCUUUUUUGGUUUUCAAACCAGAGGACACUGCUACACCUGCAGUACUCUCCAAUAAUUUCUCAUUUUCCCACUCCCCCAGUUUGGAGAGAACUACAGACCAGUUUCCCUUCUUACUUUAAUUGCAAAAACACUUGAAUGAGCUGUGUUCAACCAAGUCUCAAGUUCAAACAACAUUUUUGACAGCAACCAAUCUGGCUUCAGAAGUGGACAUUCAACCGAGACAUUCAACAUUCUACCUUGCUCUCAGUUGUUGAAGCCCUAAGACUGGCAAGAGCGGAAUCCAAAUCUUCAAUACUUAUCUUGCUUGAUCUGUCCGCUGCUUUUGACAUGAUUAACCACCAGAUCCUCCUGUCAACCCUACCACACUCCAGUGGUUUAAGUCUUACAUAUUAGAUAGGUCCUUCAAAGUAUCUUUGAGAGGUGAAGUGUCCAUGUCACAACAUCUAACUACUGGGGUGCCUCAGGGCUCAGUUAUUGGACCACUUCUCUUCUCUGUCUACAUGUCAUCAUUAGGUUCUGUCAUUCAGAAACAUGGCUUUUCAUACCACUGCUAGGCUGAUGACACUUAACUGUACCUCCUAAUUCCAUCCUGAUGAUCCAACGAUAGCUGCUCACAUCGCAGCUUGUCUAACAGACAUUUCUUGCUGGAUGAAGACAAUCACCUUCAACUCAACCUUGCUAAGACAGAACUGCUUGUGGUUCUAGCUGGACUAUUGCAAUGCUCUCUUGGCAGGUCUUCCAGCAGUUCUAUCAAACCUUUACAAUUAAUCCUGAAAGGGGAAGCAAGAUGCAUUUUUAAUGAGUCGAAAAGAAUGCAUGUCACACCUCUGUUUAUCAAUUUGCACUGGCUACCAAUAGCUGCUUGCAUAAAAUUCAAGGCAUUGAUGUUUGCCUACAAAACCAUCACUGGCUCUCCACCCCUUUACCUAAAUUCAUUACUUUAGACUUAUAUGCCCUCUAGAAGCUUGCAUUCUGGAAGUGAACGUCGCUUGAUUGAGCCAGCCAAAAGAAGCACAAAGUCACUUUUACAGACUUUUAAAUUAAACGUUCCCUUCUGGUGGAAUGACUUCCCCUACUCAAUCCGAGCAGUUUCUUUAUUUGACCAUCUAAGUCUAGCACUCUCUAUUCUAAUUCUAUUCUUAAAAAAUAAAAGCUUUCUAAUCUUUUUGUAUUCUGUUUUCUUUUCAUGUAUUAUACAGUUAACAAAAGCAAAACAGACCUCUAACACUAGCUUGCUCUAUUCUUUUUUUUUCAAAUCUGUUUUCUUUUUAUUUAUUUUAUGAUUUAAAAAGUCAUUGCAAUGUGUACUGCAUUAAGCUGAGAUUUGUUAUAGCACUUGUAUAUCAUUGCUCUUUUGUUGAUUGCGAUUGUUUUCAUUGUCCCCAUUUGUACGUCGCUUUGGAUAAAAGCAUCUGCUACAUGACUAAAUAUAAUGUAAUGUAAUAUAUAUAUAUAUGAUAUAUAAAUCUGACUUCUAACUUCACUAAAGUGUACAGUACUGAAUUCUUUGCAUAUAAAUCAAGCAGACCAAACGCUGUCAGUUUGAAUGUGCAUAUAGUCAUCUCUAAUAUGCUGUUUUACAAUUUCAUAUAGGGGAAAGAGAGAGAAAGAAAUAGUUAUUAUGCUUUCCAAAAUCUUUUUUUAGCAUGCGGUUUAUUAUAUGUACCAAAAUAGGUUCAAUAUGCAUCAUAAAAUGCAUAAAAGUGCUGUCAAAUGAUUAAUCACGAUUAAUCACAUCCAAAAUAAAAGUUUUGUGUACAUAAUAUAUGUGAGUGUACUGUAUAUAUAUAUAUAUUCAAACAACAUAAAUAAAUUAUAUAUUAAUAUAGAUAUAUAUUUAGAUGUAAAUGUUUGUUUAAAUAUAUACAUGCAUGUUUGUGUGUUUAUAAAUUGUGUGGUAAAUGCUGUUCCAUCAAAGAAUGCUGGAAAAACACUUGGUCUUAGGGGAAAAAAAGCAAAAAAUAAAUAAAUAAAUAAAUAAAAAGGAAAAAGAAAGAAGGGCCAAAUCAGCAUAUUAAAAUGAUUUCUGAAGGAUCAUGUGGCACUGAACACUGGAGUAAUGGCAGAUGAAAAUUCAGCUUUGGCAUCACAGGGAUAAACCAUAUAGAAAGCAGUUAUUUUAUAUUGUAUUAAUAUUUCAUAAUUAUAAAAUUCAUCUUACUGUUUGUAGUGUAUCCUUAGCAAAGCAACGUAUUCUUGGAAUGCAUAAGAAAAAGCUAACUGACUUCAAACUCUUGAAUGGUUGUAUAUAUUUGCCUGGAACUGGUAGCUGUAUAAUCUUGAAGGUCUGUUAAUACUCUUUUAAACAAAUCCGUUACGGUGAAAUUUGAGCUAAGGGAGUUUGGAGUGCACACAGGUGGCCCUGUGAAAGCUCCAUUUCAACAUUUACUCAGGUUCCAUAAUGAUAUUUGUAAAAAGCAUUGAUUAAAUUAUUAAAAUACCCUCAAUCUUCCAAAUUAAAGCCUUAUAAACUAUAAAUGACCAUUUUACUUAUUUUACCAUACAAGCUUCUUUACAUUAACAGUUUUUGAAAUAAUACAAUCAGCUACAUUACUAUUUCCAUCAUAAUGGGUUUAGGGAACUUAAAGUUAAAGGUCAGGUAUUGACACUGAUGUACUGUAGAGCAGUCAGCGCACAGGUUGAUGCCUCUCAGGAGUUUGCUGUGAGGACAUCAGCCAUCUGAUGUGUAAAGAGCAGCGGGGUCAAGAGGUCACCAUUUACAGCUUGUGUUACAGCAUAACAGCUUUUAAUGGACGUGGACUAUUACGGACCAUUAGCACCACUCGCAUGUGCUUUCACAUGGGAAAAUUGAAUACCAGACUGAACAAAGUUUAGCAUUAUGGUGAUGUUUAUGCUUUGAUUUUACAGACGGACUGGGUUAUUAUUCUAGAACAUCUUUAAUUUCAUCCAUUUAAUAGUGAGAAUCUUAAUAAAGUGAUUGCACAAAAUCAGAACGAUUUUGCUGAGGAGUGUAAUGAUGUCAGAUAACCGUGCAAUUGUACUAAAUGUGUUUGCAUAACUGCAUAAAGGUUAUAGCUGCAUAAGCACAGACUAAAUGCUGAUUGCUUAUUUUGGCAGCUUAAAAUGGGAUUAUGUUGUAUGCAAGUUUUUAAAACUAUCAUAAUUAACAAUUCAAGGAUAUCAAAAGUAGGAUGGAAAUAUCAGAUAAAUGGAGUAAUCUGCUCAAUUACAUAUCAGCAUUUUGAUAAGUCAGCAGUUUGCAAUGGGACACAUUUUGAAUGUUGUCUUCUCGAGCAUGUCUCUAUAAUUAAUAGAGAAAGGGGUAAUGGUCCAGUAUUAAGGAAGAUUUUGAUGUUAGAUGAGCUAUGAUAAUGAAAAAGGGAUGGAAAACACAUUAACUUUUCUCUGAACCUAGAGGUUCAAAUGCAGGAGCAAUAUCCAAAUCAAAACAUUUCAUCAUCUCUUCCCUGCCAACAGAAAUUAGGGAGCCCACACAGAAGGGUCAAGCCUUGAAGAAACUGAUCCAUCAAGUCCCCAAACCCAAUCACAACACCAUGAAAGUGCUCUUCCACCACCUGAGGAGAGUCUUGACAAAGUCACAGAAAAACUUGAUGUCGACUCAGGGCAUCAGCAUUGUGUUUGGACCGACACUCAUGUGGCCCGAGUUUGAAUCCGGAAACAUGGAAGUCAAUAUGGUGUACCAGAAUCAAAUAGUGGAGUCCAUUCUCAUUGAAUGCGUGGAGAUCUUUGGGAAAGAGUGAGCAAUGAAGAAGAGGG